UAAUAAGUGUUUUAUGGCACUUUUUAAAUCCCAUAUCCACCUUGUGUGCAAUGUCAGUCGAUCUUCUUCAUGGAGAUCGACCAAACAUCAACCUUUAUUUUUUAACUCUUUGUCUGAAAAAUAUUAUGAAUAAACAAUUCAAAAUA
rnacentral:misc_RNA from 1 species